GCCUAUGGCCAUACUAGUCUGAAAAUGCCUGAUCCUAUCUGCUCUCAGAAGCUAAGCAGACUUAGACCUGGUUAGUACUUGGAUGGGAGACUGUCUGGGAAUACCAGGUGCAGUAGGCU